rnacentral:rRNA from 1 species
UACGGAGGAUGCGAGCGUUAUCCGGAUUUAUUGGGUUUAAAGGGUGCGUAGGCGGAUUUUUAAGUCAGCGGUAAAAUGUCCGGGCUCAACCCGGGCCGGCCGUUGAAACUGGGGAUCUUGAGUGGGCGAGAAGUAUGCGGAAUGCGUGGUGUAGCGGUGAAAUGCAUAGAUAUCACGCAGAACUCCGAUUGCGAAGGCAGCAUACCGGCGCCCGACUGACGCUGAGGCACGAAAGCGUGGGUAUCGAACAGG